UGCAGAAUGGCUGAGGAAAGAAGCGAAAGACUGUAGAUCUUUUCACGGAGCUAAUUCUCCUUCUGCAA
rnacentral:tRNA from 1 species